rnacentral:rRNA from 1 species
ACUCCUACGGGAGGCAGCAGUGGGGAAUAUUGCACAAUGGGCGCAAGCCUGAUGCAGCCAUGCCGCGUGUGUGAAGAAGGCCUUCGGGUUGUAAAGCACUUUCAGUGUGAGGAAAGGAUUAGUCGCUAAUAUCGGACUAGCUGUGACGUUAUGCAACAGAAGAAGCACCGGCUAACUCCGUGCCAGCAGCCGCGGUAAUACGGAGGGUGCGAGCGUUAAUCGGAAUUACUGGGCGUAAAGCGCGUGUAGGUGGCUUGUUAAGCCAGAUGUGAAAGCCCGGC